rnacentral:rRNA from 1 species
CCCUUAGAUGUCCUGGGCCGCACGCGCGUUACACUGAUGCAUUCAACGAGCUUAUAACCUUGGCCGAGAGGCCUGGGCAAUCUUGUUAACGUGCAUCGUGAUAGGGAUAGAUUAUUGAAAUUAUUAAUCUUGAACGAGGAAUUCCUAGUAAACGCAGAUCAUCAAUCUGCAUUGAUUACGUCCCUGCCCUUUGUACACACCGCCCGUCGCACCUACCGAUUGGAUGGUCCGGUGAAGCCUCGGGAUUGUGGUUCUUGCCGCUUUAUUGUGGCGUGACCGCGAGAACUUGUCUAAACCUUAUCAUUUAGAGGAAGGUGAAGGCGUAACA